CCUACGGGGGGCUGCAGUGGGGAAUAUUGGGCAAUGGAGGCAACUCUGACCCAGCCAUGCCGCGUGAAGGAUGACGGCCCUAUGGGUUGUAAACUUCUUUUAUACGGGAAUAAACCCGGGUACGUGUACCCGGCUGAAUGUACCGUAAGAAUAAGGAUCGGCUAACUCCGUGCCAGCAGCCGCGGUAAUACGGAGGAUCCAAGCGUUAUCCGGAUUCAUUGGUGCUAAGGCGUGCUUGGGCGGAUGCGUUGAAAUCCUACAGCUUAACUGUAGAACUGCCGUUGAUACUGCAAGUCUUGAGUACAUUUGAUGUGGGCGGAAUGUGUCAUGUAGCGGUGAAAUGCUUAGAUAUGACACGGAACACCAAUUGCGAAGGCAGCUCACAAAACUGUAACUGACGCUGAGGCACGACAGCGUGGGGAUCAAACAGGAUUAGAUACCCUUGUAGUC
rnacentral:rRNA from 1 species